rnacentral:rRNA from 1 species
GACGAACCGUGCGACCGUUGUUCGGAAUCACUGGGCUUAAAGGGCGCGUAGGCGGCCCGCCGCGUCCGGGGUGAAAUCCUCCCGCUCAACGGGAGAACGGCCUCGGAUACGGGCGGGCUGGAGGGGGGUAGGGGCAGGCGGAACUGUGGGUGGAGCGGUGAAAUGCGUUGAGAUCCACAGGAACUCCGGUGGCGAAGGCGGCCUGCUGGACCCCAUCUGACGCUGAGGCGCGAAAGCCAGGGGAGCGAACGGG